GUCAAGAGAUCAAAGGCUUGGAAUCUUUAUAUCUCUCAUGAUAUUUCUCCACCUUCUCCAUUGUCUGUUUGGGGCGCCAUGGCGUCCAGCAUGGUUAUCAAGGUUCGAUAUUUUGGAACCUCAAAGGUUAAAGUUGGGGACAGAGAGAGGUAUUUGAAAGCUCCUAUUGAUGAGAACGGACAACUGAGUUUUGACAUGGGUGGAUUGAGGGAGAAAAUCUGCAGUACUUGUUAUCUCCCACCUGGUUCAGACAUUACUCUAGUGUAUAUCGAUGAAGAUGGUGAUGUAGUUACUCUUGUUGACGACGAUGAUCUGCGAGAUGCAAUGAGGCAGCAUCUGAAAUCCUUCAGGAUUGAUGUACUGAUGAACGAUAACGAAGUUUAUCGCAAAUCAAGCUCCAAAAGGAGUACUCGAGUGAUGAUGGAUUCUGUUGGAUCGAGUCUUGGCACUAGUGAUGACAACAUGGAGACCAACAGAGCUAGUACCAGUGGUUAUGCAACUCGUGAUAAUGAUUAUACAAGUAGCCCUUCUUUCCAUGAACGCUCCUUCAUUGCAGAUGACCUGGUUAAUCCUACUGUUGCUUGUUUUAAAAGGAACUACUCUGAAGCCAUAAGUGGUAUGAUGCUUCAUACCGGUGCUUGCUCUGAUGGCUGUGGUUGCAAUCCAAUAACUGGAUCUAGGUUCAAGUCCAUUUUGUGAGGAACCUACUUAAAUCAUAGUAACAUAAUAUCCUAGUAACGAAAACAUUGUCCAAAUCUUAUCAAUCAUUGACAUUCGUUUCUGCAGAAGAGAAGAUUAUAACCUCUGCCGUGUCUGCAUUGCAAGUAGGGCCCUAGCUACAUAGGCUGAUGCUUCCCUCGAGAGAACUCACUCUUUGAGAGCUUUCAAGAUUCAAACCUGAAUCUGCUUCAUGAGAAAUGUGGUCCUAAACUCUAAAGAACCUGGAAACAUAGAUGUAAAUCUUCAACGAGCAUUCAGUGGUGAUUUUUUUGCAGCUGAGCAGCUCUAAAUGAACAGCUUAAAACUAUGACCAGGAACUCCAAUCCCCUAUAUAUUACCUUGAUUAUGACCAGUUUUUCAGUCACAAUCCUAAUUUUUUUCCUUUAAUUCUUUAAGAAUCAACUGUGUAUACUAUGAGCACACACUUUUGUUUUGGGCUUUUUAGUUCACCAACAAUAUCUUGUCUACUACUACCAGCACCUGCUACAGUAAGUCUUGUUGGUUUUGUUUUGUCAAUUGGGUUGCUUUCUAAGCCAUAAUGUAUUGUUCAUGAAAGUGAAACAGAGCAAG